UACAGAGGGGGCGAGCGUUGUUCGGAAUUACUGGGCGUAAAGGGCUCGUAGGCGGCCAACUAAGUCAGACGUGAAAUCCCUCGGCUUAACCGGGGAACUGCGUCUGAUACUGGAUGGCUUGAGUGUGGGAGAGGGAUGCGGAAUUCCAGGUGUAGCGGUGAAAUGCGUAGAUAUCUGGAGGAACACCGGUGGCGAAGGCGGCAUCCUGGACCACGACUGACGCUGAGGAGCGAAAGCCAGGGGAGCAAACGGG
rnacentral:rRNA from 1 species